GGGACUGAAAGGAUUUCUACAUUUUGAUAUUAUAUUAAUGUUUAAUUUAACUAAUAAUGUUUACUUAUAUGUUACAUUUUUAAUAUCAUAUAGUGAUAAUAGUAAUUUAGUUGCAAAACAUAAUAUUGUGUCUUUUUCUAAAAAUUUAUUAGUUGCAUAAAUUUUUAGAACCUUGGAUUGUAUAUUCUAUAUUCAAUCUAUUUUUUGUUUAAAGAAUGCUCUAAUUAUAAAUUUAAGUUUCACCUUAUUGUGAUAAUUUUAUUUUUUAUUAGUAAAGUACGAAUUAUUAUAACCUUAAGUUUUCUUUAGAAGUUAUUAGUUAAAUUAUUAUAACUUAAUUACUGUAUCAAUAUGGACGUGGGUUCAAAUCCCACCAGUUCCA
rnacentral:tmRNA from 1 species